CGCAGCCGCGGUAAUUCCAGCUCCAAUAGCGUAUAUUAAAGUUGUUGCAGUUAAAAAGCUCGUAGUUGAAUUUCGGGGUCAGUAGGUUGGUCAUGCCUUCGGUAUGUACUGGUCUCACUGAUUCCUCCCUCUUGAAGAACCGUAAUGUCAUUAAUUUGAUGUUGCGGGGAAUCAGGACUGUUACUUUGAAAAAAUUGAGUGUUUAAAGCAGGCUCACACUUGAAUACAUUAGCAUGGAAUAAUGAAAUAGGACGUUCGAUCCUAUUUUGUUGGUUUCUAGGAUUGACGUAAUGAUUAAUAGGGAUAGUUGGGGGCAUUAGUAUUCAAUUGUCAGAGGUGAAAUUCUUGGAUUUAUUGAAGACUAACUACUGCGAAAAGCAUUUGCCAAGGAUGUUUUCAUUAAUCAAGAACGAAAGUUAGGGGAUCGAAAGACGAUCAGAUACCGUCGUAGUCUUAACCAUAAACUAUGCCGACUAGGGAUCGGAUGAUGUUAAUUUUUAAUGUACUCAUUCGGCGUACC
rnacentral:rRNA from 1 species